AUUUAAAAUUUUUCUUUGCAUGCAUUUUGGACACAUGCAUUGAUUUUGCAUGUCUCCAUGGGGACAGAAGGAACAAUUUACUUGCAAACAACUGUGGACAAAAAAGAAUGAUCACUGUUGGUCCCAGUUGUUGACACUCUCAGGAAACCAAUCAUAUCAAUAUGAAAAAAUGGGACAAGCUCCAGGUUCAGCAUCCUUGGACCAGUGUCCAGACCCUCCCACCUUUGUCUCCAAACUGCUCAACCUGAGCUGUCCCUCUACACUCUCAUCCUUACCUCACUGAUGCGUUCCCGUGGCUUUGGAUUAUUGACCUCAGGAUGCUGCAGUCUAUCUCUGAAGAAGCUCUCCAGAUCUGCAGCAGCUUCAUGCAUGGGCUGGGAGACAUUGUCAAAGAGUGAUGCUAUUUUUGCUACAGUCCUUCUGUGUCCCACCACCUGGCUGUGUCCAGGGGCCAUCCUAAGUCAGAGUUGGCCUUCCUGAUGAGCUUAACGGCUUCCUCCCAGCUGCUGCUCCAACACACUACACCACAGAAGAUGGCUGAUUCCACCACAGAAUUAAAAAAAGGUCUUCAGGAGAUAUUUUGCACUCCAAAAUAUCUCAGUCUCCUUAUCAGUGAUGACACAGCCCAGGUCAUGUGACUGUGGAGGUGGUGCUGAUGUUGGGAAAAAGAGGAGGAGAAAGUGACCCGGAGCAGAAAUCACCUGCUCGACGGAUCCAACAUGGAGGCCCAAACCGGAAGGGAAAGCGUUUUCUGGACAUUUCAACAGAACGUCAACGUCCACGAACAUGUUUGUCUUCACAGCUGAGCAGAGAAGCUUACUGCAUGUUUUACAGUUUUAAGGAUAUCUUUCCCAUCAAUACGGCUGUCGAUUCGGAUCAAUUACUCAUUGCAGCAAACACCUCCCUGAGGUUUAUAAUCUGUGCUGGAGAAGCUCAGCUCCUCGGAGAGGAUUACAGCAGCAAAUUAGCCUGAGCAGACCUGAUCCAUCUGAGCUCAGCAGACGCUGUGGUGGAGAAAUCCAACAGACCCUCAACCCAAACAGAGGAGGCCAAAACCAAGUGGAAAAUUUGGUUUAUUCUGCUGCUGAAAACCUUCUCUGGUGCCUGUUGCUGCUUUUGCAAGUUGCAAAUAAAAAUAAAUUAAGUUAAAAAUCAAAAAUGUGAAAAUGAUCACUGUGAAAUGUGCGUUAUUUGGUGGUGAAAUAUUUGUUUGUUGAAUAACUGUACAUUUUAUUUUAAAUUAAACAUUUUUUUAUUGUCCCUAAUUAUUUUUAAUUACACAAACACUGCCUGGUCCAGUUUCUCUGUAAAGCAAAUGAAACACAAACAUAAUUUAAUUUCUAUAAAACAGGAGGCCUUGUGUGAUUUAAAUUCCUAUUUUUUAUAAGUUUGAUUUUUUUUUCCAGCAUUUAUCUCAUGUUUAACUGUAACAAUUUAAAUCCAAAGAAUAAAAAAUAAAAUCUAUAUGAUCCAUCGAAAAAAUCAUCAGAAACUGGAAACAAAAUAGGAAAAACGUGCAACAAAAAAUCAGAUUCUUCCUUUGGUUAAUAAAUCUUUAUUAUUCAUUAAGAGCAGAAUGUGGACAAACGAGUUCCGUCUUUAUUGGCUUGUAAUGGCGCCUUUUAUCCAAAAAGAUAAAAGGCUUGAAAAAGGGUCACGGUUUGUUAAAGAAAAUAAAAAUGAUACAUUCCUGCAGAAUUAUUCAAAUUAUAAUCCCCAAAACGGCAACAAAAGGCGGCAACAAAAGCUCACCAGUCGAGCGACAAUAAACCUUUUUCAGAAACUGGGCCUGGUCUGCAUGGCUCACAAAUCCCAGUUUUACUCCAGCAAGUUGGGAAAAAUCUCCCAGUUUCUUACAUACUUCAUUACUGCUCCUCAAACUGAUUUGCUUGGCCUCUUCCUGCUCCUCCUGCGGGAAAAUCUCACGCAAAUUUGAAAGGAGACAAAUCUUGAAAUGACAGAAAUUAGAAUGUGGUCCUCUAAAGGCCCUAGAAAAGAAAGUUCUCUGCAUGUGCAAUUUAAAUAAAAACGAAUUUUGAGAGAAAAUUUGAUAAACAUUAAUGAUGUGCUUGGAAAGACAUCAAGAAUAAUCCUAAUGAUCGAAUAAGCAGCAGGCAGAGCAGGAGCUGAUUAUCCCGCUGGGAACAAACACCAGGAGUGCAGGAGCUUCCAGCAACAGAUGUCCAGGCACAAUUCUCGGCUUGGAUUGGGAUUUUUACAAGAAUUGCGUUUGGACAAUCAGCAGCUAGAGCCCAAAAACACAAAAUACUUAGAACACGAGUUUGACUAGAAAUAAAAGGAUUAAAAGUGAAAGCGUCAGCUCCAGGUUUCCAGUUGUUCAAAGUGAGACCAUCAUCAGCAGCAGGGUUUUCUCACUCAUCCGGUUCCAGAUGCUAAGUAAAGGCGCUUUCUGGAUUACCAGAAAUAUUCCAGAAAUAGGACCAAACCAAUCGUCUGAACCAGCUGCAGAGUGGGGACAAACUCAUCACCGCCAUAUCUGCACCUGUUACGACGCAUUUUUCUCUUCCAUCCAUCCAUCCAUCUUCCCCCUCCUCCCUCUGAAAAAAGCUCCAAAAAAGAUGCAACUGUCGCACAGCUGCGCUUCUUUUCCAUCUGCGCCUUUUCCCAACAGAAACACCCGCUAAGAGAACUAACGUCCCGCUGGUCUGCACUGUGCACCUGCUCCUCCGCGGUUAGCUCCAGUAUUGGAAAGUGGGAGCAGGAGGCUCCUGCAGCGCUGAGGAGGAGCCGGAGAGGCGGGCAGAGAGGCAUGAUGCUUCCCGGUCUGCACGCACGGCGGACGGGGUGCGAGCGGAAGGCUUACCGCUCAUGUCCCUCCUCCUCCUGCAGCUCCUCCUCCUCCCUGCAGCCCGAUGUGGUGGCCCUUUUCUGGGGCUCCUCCAACAAUAAGCGCCGGUGCGUCCAUGUCACCGAGAGAGAAAGCUCCAGAGUGGGGCCGCUCCGCUCUUGGUACUGAGAUUUGAAUAAACACAUACACACGCACCGCGGGGGUGAUGAUA